GUGCUAGCUUUGGCAGUACAUAUACUAAAACUGGAACAAUACAGAGAAGAUUAGCAUGGCCCCUGCACAAGGAUGGCAGGCAAAUUCAUCAAAUGUUCCAUAUUUUU